rnacentral:rRNA from 1 species
GACGAACGCUGGCGGCGUGCUUAACACACGCAAGUCGAACGGUAAGGCCCUUCGGGGUACACGAGUGGCGAACGGGUGAGUAACACGUGGGUGAUCUGCCCUGCACUUCGGGAUAAGCCUGGGAAACUGGGUCUAAUACCGGAUAGGACCACUGCCUGCAUGGGUGGUGGUGGAAAGCUUUUGCGGGGUGGGAUGGGCCCGCGGCCUAUCAGCUUGUUGGUGGGGUGAUGGCCUACCAAGGCGACGACGGGUAGCCGGCCUGAGAGGGUGACCGGCCACACUGGGACUGAGAUACGGCCCAGACUCCUACGGGAGGCAGCAGUGGGGAAUAUUGCACAAUGGGCGCAAGCCUGAUGCAGCGACGCCGCGUGAGGGAUGACGGCCUUCGGGUUGUAAACCUCUUUCAGCACCGACGAAGCGCAAGUGACGGUAGGUGCAGAAGAAGGACCGGCCAACUACGUGCCAGCAGCCGCGGUAA